rnacentral:rRNA from 1 species
CCUACGGGAGGCAGCAGUGGGGAAUCUUGCGCAAUGGGCGAAAGCCUGACGCAGCAACGCCGCGUGCGGGAUGACGGCCUUCGGGUUGUAAACCGCUUUCAGUGGGGACGAACCAAGACGGUACCCACAGAAGAAGCCCCGGCCAACUACGUGCCAGCAGCCGCGGUAACACGUAGGGGGCGAGCGUUGUCCGGAUUUAUUGGGCGUAAAGAGCUCGUAGGCGGUUCGAUAAGUCGGGUGUGAAACCUCCAGGCUCAACCUGGAGACGCCACCCGAUACUGUCGUGACUAGAGUCCAGUAGGGGAGCGUGGAAUUCCUGGUGUAGCGGUGAAAUGCGCAGAUAUCAGGAGGAACACCAGUGGCGAAGGCGGCGCUCUGGGCUGGAACUGACGCUGAGGAGCGAAAGCGUGGGGAGCGAACAGGAUUAGAUACCCUGGUAGUCCACGCCGUAAACGUUGGGUACUAGGUGUGGGGUCUUAUCAACGGAUUCCGUGCCGCAGCUAACGCAUUAAGUACCCGCCUGGGGAGUACGGCCGCAAGGCUAAAACUUAAAGGAAUUGACGG